UACGAAGGGGGCUAGCGUUGCUCGGAAUCACUGGGCGUAAAGCGCACGUAGGCGGAUUGUUAAGUCAGGGGUGAAAGCCUGGAGCUCAACUCCAGAACUGCCCUUGAUACUGGCAAUCUCGAGUCCGGAAGAGGUAAGUGGAACUCCGAAGUGUAGAGGUGAAAUUCGUAGAUAUUCGGAAGAACACCAGUGGCGAAGGCGACUUACUGGACACAUAUUGACGCUGAGGU
rnacentral:rRNA from 1 species